UGAAACUGCGAAUGGCUCAUUAAAACAGUUGUAGUUUAUUUGAUAAUCGAAAGUUACAUGGAUAACCGUGACAAAUUACAGCUAAUACAUGCAUUAAGACCCCUAUGGGGUUGUAAUUAUUAGUACUAAACCAAUUCCUUCGGGAAUGUGAUGAAUCAUAGUAAUCGAACGAAUCGCAGGAUUCUGCGAUAAAUCAUUCAAGUUUCUGCCCUAUCAGCUUUGGAUGGUAGUGUAUUGGACUACCAUGGCAAUCACGGGUAACGGAGAAUUAGGGUUCGAUUCCGGAGAGGGAGCCUGAGAAGUGGCUACCACAUCUACGGAAGGCAGCAGGCGCGAAAAUUGCCCAAUCCCGAUACGGGGGAGGCAGUGACAAGAAAUAACAACUCUCAACUUUUGUUGAGAAGUGUAAUGAGGAUAAUUUACAAACCUUACCGAAAGCAAUUGGAGGGCAAGUCUGGUGCCAGCAGCCGCGGUAAUUCCAGCUCCAAAAGCGUAUAUUAAAGUUGUUGCAGUUAAAAAGCUCGUAGUUGAAGUUCUGGUUGUAUUGGGCCUCUGCACUUGAUGCGAAGGAACCAGCAGUCAUCCGCUUGCAAGUACAUGUCCUUCCUUAACCGGUAGGCUGUAUGAGUAAGUACUUUACCUUGAGAAAAAACAGAGUGU
rnacentral:rRNA from 1 species